GCCACGGUCGCAUAAUCUGGCAUUGCGAGGAGCUCGAACCUCCUUGGUCGCAAGACUGUGCAGGUUCAAAUCCUGCCCGUGGCG
rnacentral:tRNA from 2 species